rnacentral:lncRNA from 1 species
AUGAACCCUUACCAGGUGCAGAACGGACAGGAAAAUCCAAUGGAUAUUCAUGUGGACUCUGUAAAGAUCAGAAUGCAAAGGCAAAGAAGAACCAACACAAUUGCAUCGGUAGCAAGGGGAGAGGAUGGGGAGAAUGUGUCACUGCUGUUUUUCUGGCAUGAACUGCCAUUCCCUUUGGUGGCUCCUGGAGUCUCCCUGGGCGGCAGCGGUCCCUCCGGCGGGGAUUGCUGCCAGAGCUGGCUCUCUCAGCUGCCACAUUUCCUACAGCUGUGCCAUUGUGCGUGGACAUCAAUAAACCCAAACAUCUUGUUGGAAACGCAAAACCUGUGA